GCGACCGUAGCUCAGUUGGUUAGAGCGCUAGAUUGUGAUUCUAGAUGUCGCCGGUUCAAAUCCGGUCGGUCGCCCCA
rnacentral:tRNA from 1 species